rnacentral:rRNA from 1 species
AGAGUUUGAUCCUGGCUCAGGACGAACGCUGGCGGCGCGCCUAACACAUGCAAGUCGAACGAGCGAGAGAGAGCUUGCUUUCUCGAGCGAGUGGCGAACGGGUGAGUAACGCGUGAGGAACCUGCCUCAAAGAGGGGGACAACAGUUGGAAACGACUGCUAAUACCGCAUAAGCCCACAGCUCGGCAUCGAACAGAGGGAAAAGGAGCAAUCCGCUUUGAGAUGGCCUCGCGUCCGAUUAGCUAGUUGGUGAGGUAAUGGCCCACCAAGGCGACGAUCGGUAGCCGGACUGAGAGGUUGAACGGCCACAUUGGGACUGAGACACGGCCCAGACUCCUACGGGAGGCAGCAGUGGGGAAUAUUGCACAAUGGGGGAAACCCUGAUGCAGCGACGCCGCGUGGAGGAAGAAGGUCUUCGGAUUGUAAACUCCUGUUGUUGAGGAAGAUAAUGACGGUACUCAACAAGGAAGUGACGGCUAACUACGUGCCAGCAGCCGCGGUAAAACGUAGGUCACAAGCGUUGUCCGGAAUUACUGGGUGUAAAGGGAGCGCAGGCGGGAAGACAAGUUGGAAGUGAAAUCUAUGGGCUCAACCCAUAAACUGCUUUCAAAACUGUUUUUCUUGAGUAGUGCAGAGGUAGGCGGAAUUCCCGGUGUAGCGGUGGAAUGCGUAGAUAUCGGGAGGAACACCAGUGGCGAAGGCGGCCUACUGGGCACCAACUGACGCUGAGGCUCGAAAGUGUGGGUAGCAAACAGGAUUAGAUACCCUGGUAGUCCACACCGUAAACGAUGAUUACUAGGUGUUGGAGGAUUGACCCCUUCAGUGCCGCAGUUAACACAAUAAGUAAUCCACCUGGGGAGUACGACCGCAAGGUUGAAACUCAAAGGAAUUGACGGGGGCCCGCACAAGCAGUGGAGUAUGUGGUUUAAUUCGACGCAACGCGAAGAACCUUACCAAGUCUUGACAUCCCUUGACGAACAUAGAAAUAUGUUUUCUCUUCGGAGCAAGGAGACAGGUGGUGCAUGGUUGUCGUCAGCUCGUGUCGUGAGAUGUUGGGUUAAGUCCCGCAACGAGCGCAACCCUUACUGUCAGUUACUACGCAAGAGGACUCUGGCAGGACUGCCGUUGACAAAACGGAGGAAGGUGGGGAUGACGUCAAAUCAUCAUGCCCUUUAUGACUUGGGCUACACACGUACUACAAUGGCGUUAAACAAAGAGAAGCAAGACCGCGAGGUGGAGCAAAACUCAGAAACAACGUCCCAGUUCGGACUGCAGGCUGCAACUCGCCUGCACGAAGUCGGAAUUGCUAGUAAUCGUGGAUCAGCAUGCCACGGUGAAUACGUUCCCGGGCCUUGUACACACCGCCCGUC